GUAGGGAAUCUUGCGCAAUGGGCGAAAGCCUGACGCAGCCAUGCCGCGUGAAUGAUGAAGGUCUUAGGAUUGUAAAAUUCUUUCACCGGGGACGAUAAUGACGGUACCCGGAGAAGAAGCCCCGGCUAACUUCGUGCCAGCAGCCGCGGUAAUACGAAGGGGGCUAGCGUUGCUCGGAAUUACUGGGCGUAAAGGGAGCGUAGGCGGAUAGUUUAGUCAGAGGUGAAAGCCCAGGGCUCAACCUUGGAAUUGCCUUUGAUACUGGCUAUCUUGAGUAUGGAAGAGGUAUGUGGAACUCCGAGUGUAGAGGUGAAAUUCGUAGAUAUUCGGAAGAACACCAGUGGCGAAGGCGACUCACUGGCCCAAUACUGACGCUGAGGCGCGAAAGCGUGGGGAGCAAACAGGAUUAGAUACCCGAGUAGUCC
rnacentral:rRNA from 1 species